CAGUAGCCGCGGUAAUACGUAGGGUGCAAGCGUUAAUCGGAAUUACUGGGCGUAAAGCGUGCGCAGGCGGUUAUAUAAGACAGAUGUGAAAUCACCGGGCUCAACCUGGGAACUGCAUUUGUGACUGUAUAGCUAGAGUACGGCAGAGGGGGAUGGAAUUCCGCGUGUAGCAGUGAAAUGCGUAGAUAUGCGGAGGAACACCGAUGGCGAAGGCAAUCCCCUGGGCCUGUACUGACGCUCAUGCACGAAAGCGUGGGGAGCAAACAGGAUUAGAUACCCCUGUAGUCCCUGUCUCUUAUAC
rnacentral:rRNA from 1 species